AAGUUUUUAAGUCGCAGGACAUUACGAAGGCGUUCGCAGCAAUAUCUUAAAAAUUUAAGGCAUGCUAUUUUAGAGUACAACGCUUUAAAAACAGCAUCAAUUUCGGAAUCUAAUAUGAGUUUGCGGUCACCACGUAUUACGUUAAACAUUCAAUCAGAUGUUCAACCAAAUAAAAUAUCAGAUAUAGACGAUAAUGUCAGAGAAAUUAAAAAAUAAGUUUUUAAAGAUAAUUGCAAUUUAAUCUAAGAUAUACGGAAAAAGCAUAAAGUACCAAAUGCACCAUCAGAUUCGAGAACAUUGCUUGAUACACCUACUUCAAAUAAUAUUAAAAUUAAAAUUGUUCCAUCGGGAAAAUACUGGCACUAUGGUCUUAAUAAUAUUUAAGAUAGUCUAUUUUCAACAUUGGUGAAAUGUGAUGUAAAUGUGGUAAUAGUAGAUAUAAAUAUUGAUGGCUUUCUAAUUAGUAAAAAUUCAAAAAAUAAUACAACGCUAAUGAUUGUUGGAGUUAAUUCGCAGAAAAAAUUACAAAUUGCUUCGAACAGGAUUCUUGAGAGACAAUAAAAUUAUGACUAUAAAUUAAGUUGUUUUAUCUGUGAUACCGUUGCAAGAAGUUUCGUAAAAGGUACAAAGGAGCACAUGGGUUAUUUUUCAUUUGGCCGCUGUAAUAUCGAAGAUAAUUAUCCCAAUGAAUUUCAAAAGAUGUGUUUUCACGAAACUAGUCAAACAUUUAAUAGAACAAAUGAAAGAUUGAGAAACAGAGUACAUGAGGAACAACUUGAUAUGAUAAAUGAUUUCCCAUUAGAUUUCAUGCACUUAAUAUGCUUAGGAAUAGUUAAAAAAUUACUACUUUUAUAUUUAUAGUUUACUGUUAAAGGCAAAAGAUCGUUCAAACUUUCACAUCAACUUGAUAAACUUUUGGAAGGCGACAGAAUUUCGUAUGUUUUUGCUCUAUUUUGGCCGGUUGUUCUUCAAGAUGUUUUUCCGAUGGAAAACUUCAACCAUUAUUUACUUUUGCAUUGCUCUAUAACGAGUAAUUUAGUAAAAGUUUUAAACACCAUAUACAUAUUGCAGAAAGAUUGUUAAAAUAAUAUUUCGGAGAAAAUAUCAGUAAUAACGUACACCGCUCACUUCAUAUUAUUGAAGAUGUGAAACAUUUUGAGAAAUUAGAUAAUUUUAGUGCAUUUCCUCUUGAAAAUCGACUUCAGUUUGUAAAAACUGAAGUUCAGUUUUUUCCGGACGCAAACCUUUAGAACAAAUUGUAAGAAGGUUAAUUGAAAUAAGUGAAACAAAUAAUUGUUAUUCAAUUCAAAUUGGUGUGCUAAUUGGUGCUAAAAUAUACAUUAUUAAAAAAAGCGGUGUUCAAUAUAUAGUGUACAAGCUUGUCAAGGAGUUUUCGACAAAAUACAACUUGACAAUUUUAACCUGCGAAAUAAUAAAAAGGAUAGAUGGUUUUCAACGAAAUCCAAACAACUUGUUAAAUUCACAAAUUAUACUUUCUUAAAAAAUGAGCCAGCUAUAUACGGAGCUGGUUUGAAUUAUUUUAUAGAUUUUUACGAAUUACCAAUUAAAUCUGCUGUCUUUAAUAUAUUCGAAUAUUCAAUAAUUCCUAAUAAUUCAGAAAUAUUCUGUCUAUCAGAAAUUAAUUGCAAACUUUUGAGUUUAUCUAUUUCAGUUGAUAGAAGCGUAUUUUUUCCAAUAUUGCAUAUAUUGUGGAAACCAUUGAAAACGAAGAGAAGUUUAUAGUAACCGUUCCUGCAACUCUUGUAACUAAUAAUAUUUUAUCUUAAACCAGCACAAAAAUGAGCAGAUUAAAGGAAGCCAAAAUUUAUUGCAAUCUAAUAAAAAAUUAACCACAUUCACCUGCAGAAUUUUGAAAUUAAAAAUAGUGUGAAGUAUGUUCUUCAAGCGAAGUCGAAAACUUUCAUCAGCGGAAAAUCUCUGUUAAUCAUGCAGAUCUUGUGGGUGAUUUCAAUGCGCAUAUUGUACCAUAAUUGGUACAAUAUUCGUGGAAUGGAACUUUUACAAAAACAAUCUUUCAUAUUUUCAAACAAAUAUUACAUUAAAUUUUAAGAAGUGUAAAUAAACGUUUCCGGAGUAUACUCAAUACUAACAUUCUACUUUUUUCAAGAAUUAUUUGAAAGAUGCCGCAUUUUGCAUUAAAAGGAUGAGGUAUGAAACAAUAUUUUUAAUAAUAAUAUAUAAUAUGUUUAUAUUAAUAGGCUCAAACAAAUUUAUAAAUAACUGUAUUUAACUCUGUUAUUAUUUUUUCUUUUUCAGAGAAGAAAAAAAAAACAUUGGAAAGUGGACACAGAGCAGAACUGGAAGUAGAAUAAUAUUUAUUAUUCAAUAUGUUCUUACUAUAACCAGUGCCUGUAUAAAUUAGAUAGUAUCAUAUUUAAUUGAAAAAUUUGUUUUUUAAAUAAAUGACACGUGAAUUCA